AACGAACGCUGGCGGCAGGCUUAACACAUGCAAGUCGAGCGCCCCGCAAGGGGAGCGGCAGACGGGUGAGUAACACGUGGGAAUCUACCCAUCCCUACGGAACAACUCCGGGAAACUGGAGCUAAUACCGUAUACGCCCUUCGGGGGAAAGAUUUAUCGGGGAUGGAUGAGCCCGCGUUGGAUUAGCUAGUUGGUGGGGUAAAGGCCUACCAAGGCGACGAUCCAUAGCUGGUCUGAGAGGAUGAUCAGUCACAUUGGGACUGAGACACGGCCCAAACUCCUACGGGGGGCAGCAGUGGGGAAUAUUGGACACUGGGCGCAAGCCUGAUCCAGCCACGCCGCGUGAGUGAUGAAGGCCUUAGGGUUGUAAAGCUCUUUCACCGAUGAAGAUAAUGACGGUAGUCGGAGAAGAAGCCCCGGCUAACUUCGUGCCAGCCGCCGCCGUAA
rnacentral:rRNA from 1 species